rnacentral:ncRNA from 2 species
AAACUAAAUAUAGGUACAGGUGCCCGUAAGGGCUUCAUAGAAAAGCCGGUUGAAGACCGGCGCGGUCCCGCCACUGUAAUGGGGAGCAAAUCCAAGAUAUGCCACUGGAACGAAUCGUUCUGGGAAGGUUUGGAGGCGCAAUGAUCCUAAGCCAGGAGAACUGCCUGUACAACGAUCACCGU